rnacentral:rRNA from 1 species
UACGUAGGCAGCAAGCGUUGUUCGGGGUUACUGGGCGUAAAGAGUGUGUAGGCGGUUUUCUAAGUUUGGGGUGAAAUCUCCCGGCUUAACUGGGAGGGUGCGCCGAAGACUGGAAGGCUUGAGUAUGGGAGAGGAAAGCGGAAUUCCUGGUGUAGCGGUGAAAUGCGUAGAUAUCAGGAGGAACACCUGUGGCGAAAGCGGCUCACUGGACCAUAACUGACGCUGAUGCACGAAAGCUAGGGGAGCAAACAGG